AGGAGGAGAAGAGAUGAAAAUCACUGGCCCAAAAUGAAUUCUUCCCCCCAAAAUGACCCACAACUGUGUGUGAACCUCUAGCUAUUAUGGAUAAGGAACUGAAGGAACAUGGUGAGGAAUGAAGCUUUAGGAAAGAAGCUAGGAUUUUUCUUUUCGAAUUGCUAUAAAGUACCUCAGCGCUGGAAAUGCACUGGAAAUGGAUGGUUUGGCUGAAUCAGCCUCAGAGACUGCUGACAACAAACCAAGAGGAAAACUUACCCUUGCAGAUUCCCCUCUGCUAACUCUUCCAACGGGUCAUUAUUGGGCUGCUUCUUGCUGAAGAGACAACAUGGAAGGAAGUAAAUACAGACUGUGCAUCAUCGUGAGGGAGGAGAGAUCCCCAUUUGGAGUUGGUACAACUGAAAGCAUGGAGCAAUUUAAAACUGACAGUGAAACCUGCAUGGGACUGCAAAUGAUUUAUUUUGGCUUGUUUCUGAGAGCACAUGCAAUAAAUCCAAGAGAGGA